UGUGUGUUAGUGGAAGCGUCUGGAAAGGCGCGCGAUACAGGGUGACAGCCCCGUACACAAAAAUGCACAUGCUGUGAGCUCGAUGAGUAGGGCGGGACACGUGGUAUCCUGUCUGAAUAUGGGGGGACCAUCCUCCAAGGCUAAAUACUCCUGACUGACCGAUAGUGAACCAGUACCGUGAGGGAAAGGCGAAAAGAACCCCGGCGAGGGGAGUGAAAAAGAACCUGAAACCGUGUACGUACAAGCAGUGGGAGCACGCUUAGGCGUGUGACUGCGUACCUUUUGUAUAAUGGGUCAGCGACUUAUAUUCUGUAGCAAGGUUAACCGAAUAGGGGAGCCGAAGGGAAACCGAGUCUUAACUGGGCGUUAAGUUGCAGGGUAUAGACCCGAAACCCGGUGAUCUAGCCAUGGGCAGGUUGAAGGUUGGGUAACACUAACUGGAGGACCGAACCGACUAAUGUUGAAAAAUUAGCGGAUGACUUGUGGCUGGGGGUGAAAGGCCAAUCAAACCGGGAGAUAGCUGGUUCUCCCCGAAAGCUAUUUAGGUAGCGCCUCGUGAAUUCAUCUCCGGGGGUAGAGCACUGUUUCGGCAAGGGGGUCAUCCCGACUUACCAACCCGAUGCAAACUGCGAAUACCGGAGAAUGUUAUCACGGGAGACACACGGCGGGUGCUAACGUCCGUCGUGAAGAGGGAAACAACCCAGACCGCCAGCUAAGGUCCCAAAGUCAUGGUUAAGUGGGAAACGAUGUGGGAAGGCCCAGACAGCCAGGAUGUUGGCUUAGAAGCAGCCAUCAUUUAAAGAAAGCGUAAUAGCUCACUGGUCGAGUCGGCCUGCGCGGAAGAUGUAACGGGGCUAAACCAUGCACCGAAGCUGCGGCAGCGACGCUUAUGCGUUGUUGGGUAGGGGAGCGUUCUGUAAGCCUGCGAAGGUGUGCUGUGAGGCACGCUGGAGGUAUCAGAAGUGCGAAUGCUGACAUAAGUAACGAUAAAGCGGGUGAAAAGCCCGCUCGCCGGAAGACCAAGGGUUCCUGUCCAACGUUAAUCGGGGCAGGGUGAGUCGACCCCUAAGGCGAGGCCGAAAGGCGUAGUCGAUGGGAAACAGGUUAAUAUUCCUGUACUUGGUGUUACUGCGAAGGGGGGACGGAGAAGGCUAUGUUGGCCGGGCGACGGUUGUCCCGGUUUAAGCGUGUAGGCUGGUUUUCCAGGCAAAUCCGGAAAAUCAAGGCUGAGGCGUGAUGACGAGGCACUACGGUGCUGAAGCAACAAAUGCCCUGCUUCCAGGAAAAGCCUCUAAGCAUCAGGUAACAUCAAAUCGUACCCCAAACCGACACAGGUGGUCAGGUAGAGAAUACCAAGGCGCUUGAGAGAACUCGGGUGAAGGAACUAGGCAAAAUGGUGCCGUAACUUCGGGAGAAGGCACGCUGAUAUGUAGGUGAAGUCCCUCGCGGAUGGAGCUGAAAUCAGUCGAAGAUACCAGCUGGCUGCAACUGUUUAUUAAAAACACAGCACUGUGCAAACACGAAAGUGGACGUAUACGGUGUGACGCCUGCCCGGUGCCGGAA
rnacentral:rRNA from 1 species